AAGUCGUAACAAGGUUUCCGUAGGUGAACCUGCGGAAGGAUCAUUCAUAAUCGAGUGUUUUAUGGCACUCUUUAAAAAAUCCAUAUCCACCUUGUGUGCAACGUUUUUGAACUCUCUCUGGCGUUAAAAAACCAAGAGGGUUUGAUUAACUUAACUUAACACCUUUAAAGCAGUUUGUCUGAAUAUCUAUUUCUGAAUAAACAUAAUUCAAAAAUACAACUUUCAACAACGGAUCUCUUGGCUCUC
rnacentral:misc_RNA from 1 species